UAUGAAAAGAAAAAUAGAAGGAAAAUGGUCUACUUUACCCUUGAACCAGAAUGAACUAUGAAGAAAAGGGGAAGACAAAACAACUCUAAGAUCUCUUCUCUCUCUCUCUCUCUGGGUGCGCUUCCGUCUCUCUCUCUCUCAAUCAUUGGUUCAACUUAAAGAAGCUCACAUAGGAAGAAAGGAAGAACCAGUUAAUUGAAGGAUUGACUAAAUUUGGCCAAUGGCAUAAAUUUUCAAAGAUAAUGCACAUGCCAUAUAGAGAAACCUGGCUUUCCUUGUGUCCAUGCAAUUGCAGCAUAUAAGCAUCGAUAUAUUUCUCCAUAUAUUCUUUGCUCGGUGCAUUACUCAGUUGACUUACUCCGUGACGCAUAUUCGGAAACCAUAUAUCCACUUAGAAAUAAAUGUCAGUGGCAUGCUCCAGAUGAUGUUAUAAACCAGCUUGUACUUCCAUCUAAGAUUGGAAAACAGUCAGGAAGACCAAGAAAGAAGAAGAUUCAAUCUCAAGGAGAGGAGUAUCAUCAAUAUAGAUGUGGGGGGUGCAAACAGAUUGGUCACAGCAGCAAAUCAUGCUCAGCCACCAUACCUUUUGAUAGCACUACCAACCAACAGCACCAUUCAACUGAAGGACCAUAAAUCGCUCUAUGCUAUAUUAAGACAAUGGGGACAUGUUAUGUGGUAUGCGUGUGUUAUGCAAUGUAGUAAGAAAUGCAAUUAGUAGCUUAACCGCAUAACAUGUGUUUUGGCAUAAUAGACGUUGGUUUUAUGUGUUGUUUUGUUGGAAAAGUCUUCUGUCAUAUUGUGUUGAUAAAAUAUCAAUGACCAUAAACAGAAAAAACCCCAAAAGUUUGGAAAAAGUUUCCAAAUUGGCAAAAAUAUUUGAUUAUCGUAGGUUUCAUUGGUAUAUACCGAAACCCCUGUG